UACGUAGGGUGCGAGCGUUGUCCGGAAUUAUUGGGCGUAAAGAGCUCGUAGGCGGUUUGUCGCGUCAGCCGUGAAAACUUGGGGCUUAACUCCAAGCUUGCGGUCGAUACGGGCAGACUUGAGUUCGGCAGGGGAGACUGGAAUUCCUGGAUGUAGCGGUGAAAUGCGUAGAUAUGCGGAGGAACACCGGUGGCGAAGGCAGGUCUCUGGGCCGCAACUGACGCUGAGGAGCGAAAGCAUGGGGAGCGAACAGG
rnacentral:rRNA from 1 species